rnacentral:rRNA from 1 species
UAGGCGUAAAUGAUGCGAGUUAAGUGUGGGGGCAUCUACGAGAUGGCCCUGUGCUGUAGGGUAGCCGUUAAACUCGCUGCCUGGGGAGUACGGUCGCAAGGCUGAAACUUAAAGGAAUUGGCGGGGGAGCACCACAACGGGUGGAGCUUGCGGUUUAAUUGGAUUCAACGCCGGAAAUCUUACCGGGACCGACAGCAACAUGAAGGCCAGGCUGAAGACUUUGCUGGAUUAGCUGAGAGGAGGUGCAUGGCGUAGUCGUGU